rnacentral:rRNA from 1 species
UACAGAGGGGGGCAAGCGUUUGUUCGGAAUUACUGGGCGUAAAGGGCGCGUAGGCGGCCUUCUAAGUCGAACGUGAAAUCCCUGGGCUCAACCCAGGAACUGCGUCCGAUACUGAAAGGCUUGAAUCCGGGAGAGGGGUGCGGAAUUCCAGGUGUAGCGGUGAAAUGCGUAGAUAUCUGGAGGAACACCGGUGGCGAAGGCGGCAUCCUGGACCGGUAUUGACGCUGAGGCGCGAAAGCCAGGGGAGCAAACGGG